rnacentral:rRNA from 1 species
UCAGUUCGGACUGCAGGCUGCAACUCGCCUGCACGAAGUUGGAAUUGCUAGUAAUCGUGGAUCAGCAUGCCACGGUGAAUACGUUCCCGGGUCUUGUACACACCGCCCGUCACACCAUGGGAGCCGGUAAUACCCGAAGUCAGUAGUCUAACCGCAAGGAGGACGCUGCCGAAGGUAGGAUUGGCGACUGGGGUGAAGUCGUAACAAGGUAAC